rnacentral:snRNA from 1 species
AAGUGCGUAACAACUAUCCU